GCCAAAUAAAACCAGGGUGAUAAAACUGAGACUCAGCACAUUCCCUGUCCAUCAUGAGAAAUUUUCUGAGACCACAAUCAGCAGCUGCUGCUUCUUGAAACCCAAGUAAGGAAGAUCAGUGGAAACCAGGGAAGCUCAUGGCACAAAUUCAGGAGACAAUGACCUGAAAACAUCUACAAGCAAAACCUCAAAGAAAA